UCCUCAAGUUUUUGGAUUUGCAAGUUGGUCCUUCAAGUCCCUGAAAUUGCCUGGGGAGUCCUUCCAUUCCUCUUCCUCUCCCUGGCUCACUCAUGGCCUCCACGUUUUUCAAUGCCCUGUAGAUCUCGAUAUCCUCUCUUCUCGCUCAGAAAUUUCUAUAUCCUUUUAAGGGAAAUGAAUUUUAUUGAAAAAGAAAUGGUUUUUUGAUGAUAGGAUGCGGUUGGUAUUGUUGCGCAUUGCUUCGAGAGGUGAAAAUAUUCUUGGGGCUGAUGUUUUCGCGCCCGAAAACAAGAAUGUCUUCUAUUCUAGAAUUGAGUUUGUUUUUGACCGAGUUAAAUGGCCACGGGCUCAAAUGGAUGA
rnacentral:misc_RNA from 1 species